UCGAUAGCUCAACUGUGAGAGCGUCAGACUUUCGAUCUGAAGGCCCUGUGUUCGUUUCAC
rnacentral:tRNA from 14 species